ensembl:lncRNA
CAGGAGAGGGGCAUCCAUAACAUUCUCCAGACCUGCCCACAGUGAAAGGGAAGAGAUUCUACUUGGAACGUACACAAAGAGGUGGAAUCUUGGGGACCACCCAGAACUCUGCCUACCACACUACCAAUACCACUUUUCAACAGGCACUGUACUCAGGUUCAUGUUUGAUAUUCUACUGCUAAUCCACACAGCAAUGUGACAAUCUCCCUGGGUUCUCUGCAGCUCUUUAAAUGGAUGCCAGCUCACUACUCAAUAAGUCCAGGAUAAGAACCAUACAUUGUUCAUCGCUGAGUCUCAUAGUGUAGAGACAGACAUAUCAGCUCAAGAAGUGCUUGAUGAAUGAAUCAAGGAAUGAGUGUCAGGAGCCAAUCAGCUUAUACAAGCCCCGUAUAAAGAACUGAACAGCCUUCAGGGUCAUUGCUCAAAGAAGAGGGGACCACACUCAGCAGAUAAAUAGCCUGGCAUCUCAUCCUUCAGCACUGUGUUCCCUGUGUGCCUAACGGAUGAGUCCAUCUCGCAGAGGGGAAGGAACCGCAGGACGGCCUCGUGGAUAAAGUGUCAAAGGAGCUAAUCCUUAAAGAAUGGGCUUAAUUUGAACAGACACAGAGACUUCCUAUCCUUUCAAUACAGAUCAUCGUUUUUUAAUAUUUAUUCUAUUACAUACGUUAAUCAUGUUUAUUGUGGUAAAUGUGAAUAAUACAGAAGUAUUAAGAUAAAACUAAAAGUCACCUUUAAUUUUACCAACUGGAAUAAACUCAAUACUUGAG